CGCGUAGGCGGCUUGUUAAGUCAGAUGUGAAACCUGGGGGCUCAACCCGCAGCGUGCAUCAGAAACUGGCAGGCUUGAGUCUGGUAGAGGAAAGUGGAAUUCCCAGUGUAGCGGUGAAAUGCGCAGAUAUUGGGAGGAACACCAGUGGCGAAGGCGGCUUUCUGGGCCACGACUGACGCUGAGGCGCGAAAGCUAGGGGAGCAAACAGGAUUAGAUACCCUGGUAGUCCUAGCCGUAAACGAUGGGCACUAGGUGUGGGGGGUCAUCAACUCCCUCCGUGCCGCAGCUAACGCACUAAGUGCCCCGCCUGGGGAGUACGGCCGCAAGGCUAAA
rnacentral:rRNA from 1 species